GUAGCAGAAAUGAGUCAAAUCAGACAAAUCAAAGAGUCUAUCAGAGCUGUGUGCAUUGAAACAUGAGCUGAAUUCCUCAGGAAGUCAUAAAUCAGUUCUAGUGCCACAGGAACCAAACAAGAUAACCAACCAACCAACUUGUUCACACAACAGCUUUCAACAUUAACACCAAUAGAACAAUUAUUGACAAUUUUAAUUCAAAGAAGAGAUUGUCAAAUUUAUUGUUCGUGAUUGGAAUGCAACGCUGGACAUCACAUGUAAACCCAGGAGAUCAAGUUAAAUACUUGCAUUGACUUCCCCCCCCAGCCAGUGAAACCAGACUGAAAUUCCUAAGGGGGAAGGGCUUUAAACCUUUGUCUUCACAGAAAAGUCCUUUGCCAGAGAAUGGCAAAGAAACCCUUUUUAUACAUUAUAUAUGGACCAGAAUGAACUCAAAAAAGACUUAUGAAUGAAUCAUUCCAUUGCUUAACUCCAUAUUCAUUUAUGUGUAACCCACACAUUUGACUAUCAUGUAUAAUCACUUAUUGUGUAUGUCUUUUGAUAACUAUAGGAUACCUAGUCAUGUCUAGUAUUCAAAUAAUCGCAUUUUCUUGCUUGAUAUUGUCCUGACAAUCAUUUAUUUGUAAAAUAUAUCAUAAUCAUGUUAUAGGAAUCAUGUCCAAAAUUAGACCCUGUGAGGCAAGAACCACAUGCUUGGUAAGAUAAACAAAUGAUUUAUGAUACCCAAGACUCAAGAACAUAUCUGAUUGGUCAAGGCAACAUUUGAGGGGUGGCCAACAGGAAGUUUUAAAUACUUUGGACACGAUGUAAUUUCGCUUUUAGUCAUGCCUUGGUUCUAGUCUGCCUGCUGCUAUUAGCCAUUCUGGCUUUUAGUUCUAGUCUAGCUGCUGCUAUUAGCCAUGUCGGCUUUUAGUUCUAGCAUUGCUCGUGCUAUCAGUCAUGCCUGCUCUUAGCUUUUAGCUUGUAGCUUUGCUACCUAGCUUUAGCUUGUAGCAUCUAGCCAUGCGGUAGUCAUCAUUGUUCUUUGAGCGCGGUUCCAGCGUGCCUGCCUGCUGCUACUAUGAGAAGGAACACAACCUAGUCUCGUCAAACUUUAUUUCUUUUCUUUUCCGUUUGAGAGUUUCGUGUUCUGAGUUAAGUUUUGUAACGUCCAUUCAACUUCAACCAGCGAACACGACUCUGCACUUUCAGCCAACGCCCAACAACCACGGGCUUCCCAAGACGUCACUUCAGAGACUGAACUUCCAGCCAAUCAACGACCUCGGGAUAGCCCUUUCACCGAGGCUCCUUCUUCACAGGAGAUGCAAGUAACUUUACCUCCAGACUGUGACCUUUACUGGUGUAUCUAAUAUAAUUUUAACCUCAUUGAGGAACUCAAUGCGAGCGCUAAUUACGUGAUUGAUGGUUGUUCAUGUUUAUGCAAUUUAACGUAUUGCUGUUAACUUGGGAUUCCAUAUUUCCAUUCUCUUAAACUCAUCUUUCCCUAACUUUCGACCUUCCUGCAACUUGUGUGAAUGUGUGUGUGCGUGCGUUUAUGUGUUAGAUUAGUUUGUAUGUCUUAGAUUUAUCUAAUAAAGCCUUAUUCAUAUUGAAAAGAUAAGUAUCUUGUGUUUUGUGCUUACAAGUUAAUGUCUUAAACUGUCGAUCUUGUUACUGUGCUAAUUGAUAGUGUUUUCACUAUAGUUUGGAUAUUAGUAUCCAGCGCAGAUUUGAUGUUAAACGGCUCGUUCACUGAACCGCAGGCGCGUCUCCGUGAGCAGCCGUGAAACAGUGAUUCUGUUCAAAUUCCCUUUAAAAUCUUAAAUGAUUCCCUUUGAGCUAAAUUGACCUGUUUCCCUUACAUUUAUUAUGGUGGAGAAUGCGGGCAGUUUAAUCUAAAUUGUGAGCAUAAACCAAGUUAUUUAAUCUUUGAUUUUGCUAAAGGAAUGAAAGAUGAGAAGCUUGCGAGACGUGUGUGUUUGAGAGUGUGACGUAAGCAGCGCGCGCCCUCCCGCUUGAAUGAAAGGAGCUAGAGGAGACUUUAACUCGAGUCCGUCUCCCCUUUGUUAACAGCAGUAAGUGAACUUAAAAGUAAACAUCUGAGAACGUACAAUAAGGUAGAAAUUGAGCGUGUUCCUCAUUUGUGUAAUGCCUUGUUUUAUAGCUGAUUUGAUUUCACUGCGUGUUCCAGUGUCUCAAACGCUAUCUCAGUCACUGUUUGCUGAACGGAGCUAAACUGUUAGUGUUUCAAAAGGGAUAUAAAUCGGUGAAUAAAGAAUAGUUUUGAGCGGGUUCCUCAAUCUAUUUAUCAAAGUCCCCGUAUUCAUAUUUCAUAUAGUUUGAUUGCCAGUGCGUGUUCCACUGCCGAAUCAAAUUUGAUAUUCGACUCCCCUAAGUUAACGUUAAACAUUAGAGAACAAUGUUUGCCCAUUUGUAUCCGUUCACAAAGUGAAUGCAAUCUCGCGUAACACUGCGUGUGCCCGAGAGUAAUUUGAAUGGGAGUGUUUUAAAAGCUUGAUCAAGUAAAUUUUAACUGUGUACCAACAGCGAAGGAAAACUUUUAUGUUUGUGUCCAGAAAAACUGGCACAGAGAAUCAAAUUGCUGAGAUUGAUAUAAUAACUGCAGCAGGAAGCUGCUAUUUGAAUUAAGAUAAAUUUAACUCUAUACAAACUGAGAGUUUAAGUGCCACAUCGCAAAACCAACUGAAAGGCGGUGUUGUUAUUUGUACAGUGUUGAAAUGAGCCGACAUUUCAUGUAACAUGCUUAACUGUAUUUGCAACAAUGCAACGAUUCAUGUGCUGAUCCACUAGAAUGUGUUUUGGUUGCCAUAGUGACGACCGUGACCCGGAAGCCUAACGUACUUCCGGAGCAACUCCGAACUGUGCACGCGCAGCGCACAAACUCCACGGUGUCGCUAAGCUAACGAAACCAUUGCAUUUACAUUAAAGUCUAUACUAAAGCCACUAGCCUCAAAGGUUAGCCGUUAGCAUUACCAUCCAGUGGUAGAAUAAUGUGUGUUUGGGCAACGCUGACGUGAUUUAACCAUUUUAAACAUCUUAACUAACACUUGUUAGUCCAUUUCUUUUUAUCGCUCUCUUUUCUCACUAGACCAUUUAUUUUCAUUUUACUAGAAAGGGAAAUACUGACUCACAAUUAUUAAUUGUCAAAUUGAAAUUUAAUUGAAACAUUAAAUUUAUUUUGAAUCAUUUAAAAUUUCCCUCUCAGAUCAUUUCAUAUGAUCUUUUAUUUCUAGUAUUCUCUUUUGGGUCUAAUUAUUUUAGGAAUGAAUAAGCCUUGAACUUUGGAAGUUAAGUAAACUUAUUCUUCCUAAUUUAUUUAUUACCCAUCUGAAUAUACGCUAUUCAGACCUUUACUUAUUUGAAUGCGUUUUACCCCUCUUCCUGUUUUGGUUAUACACUUAACCACUAUUGUUUUACGUAUUGAUUCCCUCUCUUUAACUUAAUUUUUGCAUAGUUUGCCCAUUUAUUAAUUUUUAAAUUUUCCUAUUUCUUACCAUUUCUUUUGUGUAUCCUAGCCUGGGAACGACAAACCUGAGUCCUAAAAGGAGACAUUGUUAUCCCUCACUACGAGUUCAAAUAAAUUAGAAAGACAACUCUUUCACUUAAAGUUUAUUUUGUUUGAUAAGUUGUGCAGCAACUAACACAACGCUCUCCUUGUAGUUCAGAUAACCGCUACUGAGACUUACCAUCUCCGUCCUCUCUCUCCUUUACUUUCCUCUUCUCUUUUUACAUUUGUAGGACAUGUAAGAACCAUCAAUCAAUUCUAAGUGAAGUAAAUACACAAUCGUGCCAAAGACGACGAAUCAUCCUUAUGAAUUUGAUUGUAAUCAUCCUCUCAUUUGUUCUUCCUAACCUCCCUACAUUUGGAAACGCAAUCCAAGUUUUAGCAUCUCAUCCAUCGUUGAGAUCAAUUUAAUAGAGAUACGUGUUGAGCAACUGUCGCCUUUGCUGACUCCCUGGUGAGCCGUCCAACUGAAAGGUGUACGGUGUCAAUCCUGUCAGACUAAGAAAAGAGAUAUCAGAAUUAUUAUUGUAUUCUUUUGUCCAAAGCAAGAAAUAUAAUAAUAUUGUUUACGUUUUUGAUAACAUUUAAUUGGAAAAAAUAAUUUUCCUCAUUUGAAAAACAGAAAUUUUGCUUGUCAUUUGAAUUUGUUUUUCACCUCUGUCUCUCUUUUCCUCUUCCUCAUUAGAGUGACAAAGUCUUCGCAUCUCUAGUCUACUUAGACACCCUGAGACCAACACAGUCAUCACCACAUUUCACUAGUGGUUCACAAUCACUGAUACAACACUUAGUUGUCCCACCACACAUAGGCUUUUACUCCAAACAGAUCUGUGUCAGUCUCUCUUCUUCCCAGCGUGACAACAUGCCGCAGACUGCAGACCCCAUUUCCCAUGGGGAAGAUGUGAACAUUUGGCUGAGAGGCAUAACAGACAGCCUCACUCCAAAGACAUUUGAACUGUUAUUAUUUUUAAUAAUAAUCCUAAUCCUGAGAAGAUUCCUGACACAAGAUUCAAGCCAGAACAACAACCACGAGGAGCUAGUCAAGAUCACGAGCUCACUAAGCUAUGCCUUCACAACCCAGCUGAAACUGAGCGACAAGCACAUCACCCACCUUCAAGAGGAGCUGACACGUGCUCAACGUCGCAUAGACAAGCUGGAAGUGAAAGUUCAAAAUCAACUCAAAGCACCCAGCGAGAGGGAGCAGGAUACAACAGAACAAGUUAUGAAGCUCCUAGCAGCCCUGGCAGCAGCUCAGCUCGACCAGCGACAUGCAACGGCUGCUCAGAAAGACCUGGUAAACAGACUCCAGUAUGCCGAACAGCUACUAGAGAAAGCCAAGAUAGACAUCAGAAACAAGAAUUCUGAAAAUAGUGCUUUGAAAGACCACCUUGAAAGGUACAGAACUGAAACGGACAAUCUGACCCAACAACUAGACGAUACCAACGAUGAGCUCUACAUGGUCAGAAAAGAACUCCAAAAUGCUUACAAGCACAAACAAGAGCUAAGGAAAGAGAAACCUCUCUUAGCCUCAUCACUGCUGAGCAGAGCAGAGUCCCACGUCCAAGAACUGGCAUAUGACGAAAGGAGCGAAGGGCCACAACCCAAAACCUCACCUGCCUUCGCCACACAACCCUUUCCUGCCAACGAAAGAAAACCUCCCGUCCAAGGCCUUGAAGCUGCACACGGGAUGACCAUCAAAGACCUCAACGAGCUGUCUAAAAACAUCAGCAGGUUCAACCCGAACUCCACAGAGAGCCCCGACAUCCAAGCUUAUCUGCGAGAUAUCGAAUUUCACCUGGAAGUGAGACCUCAUGUGACUGACAGAGACUGGUUAUACCUCCUUAGAGCCACGUCCAGUUCCGAGGUACGAAACUUUCUAGAUCGACAGCCCAGUCAAACCAAGUCAAACUACCAGCGACUUCGUGAGGUCCUGAUUAAAGAGUUUACAGACCCAGAGUCUGAACAUGGACUGUUAACUGCCUUGGAAACCAAACAAGGUCGUCAAGAGACUCCACAAGCUUACUACAACCGACUCCGACAAUCCUACUUUGGUGCACACAACAACUCUGACCUUGAAGAGGAUGUGAACUUCAAAACCCUCUUCCUAAAGAAUCUGCACCCUGGAGUCAGUCACCAUCUAGGUGUCAUGGCCUGUCCGAACUCCAUGACCAUCCAACAGUUGCGUGACCUAACACAGAAGGCCUAUAACAAGCAGAAGUUGGCCUCAAAGAAAGGUAACAAAACAUCCACACUCUUGAACUCUGUCAACAAAGACUCAAGCCUUGCACUGGACGACACCCAGUGGCAUCACAACACCAGAGUCUUCCAUCAAGAGCACAGAGAACGUGACGCCCAUAUCCACGACCGCUUUGAGCCCAACUGCUGGAAAAAUCCAUGGGACCAGCCACGCUUCUCAAGAAACCAAAAGGAUAACAUCUGGAAACCUAACCAGAUAUCCAAAGGUAAUCAGUUGACUCAUCCAAGAGCAACUCGUGUGGGUAAGCGACAACAAAACCCACCUCAGCACCACUCAGACAUGCACAGUGCUGAGUAUGCACAAGAACAUAACCGCUUACCAUUAGAAGACACGGAACAAGUCAUGGAACAACUAAGAGAGUUCCUUCAAGACAAUUUACAUGCAUAUGACCACAAAGUUGAGUCAUGCUCGCUGUGACCAGCGACAGAACGGAAGGCCGGUGAUCACCUGGUGCACCACAUCAGAGAUGACAAGCACCUGUUCAACAACAACCCAGAAUGAACAAGUCUUUAACGGCCAACUGUUGAUGAAAAAUCUGAGGUACUAAAGGACAUCACCUCAGUCACUAACAAACUGUCAAAUGAACUCCAACUCCAAGUACCACAUUCCCUGUCUGUGCAACAGCAACCACCAGAGCACAGAAGGUCAGAAAGUCUGCUACAGCCAGAAGGCAUCACAAGAAGAAUGCAACAUAGGAGACAAGUUUUGCAACUCAGCUUCACACAGCCAUGCCAAACUGCCUCCGACGGCGUGCUAAAGAACUUCCUGCCUUGCUGGACUGACCCCUCAUUAGACCAUGGACACGCCCUCAUCCAAGCCAAAGAUGCAGAGAGCCAGUCUUCAGUGACAUGCUAGAAAAAGGGGGAGACAACACAGACUUGAACAGAUCUGACCACACAUGCACUUCACCAUUAACACACAACAUUACCUACACCCAGAGGUAAACACAUCUACUGAUAACACAGUCAACAAACAUAUUCUUCCCACAGGUAGAAUAUCCAACUUUUAGCGUAACAAAGUUACACAUACCCACCAUGAAGAAACGUGCAGCCAUCCUCACAAUAGGUAGAACACCUGACACUAAGUUAAGGUUCACGACACACUAGCUGCACCUGACAUCCUAGCUCAAUAGUAGUUGUAACACAUGCUAGGAAAACCCACAGCAGCCUUGUUUUGUUUUGUUCUUCUUUUACCUAUCCUUCUCCUUCCCCUCUUUCCUGAGUAGGUGAAAUGCCUAGACACCCUGCGAGGGUUGAAGGUCUGAUAUUAGGAUUGACUCGCAACACCUAAUAUCCGCCAGCCACUCUAAACUGAAUGGAAGCCAGAGAGCUCCAUGCAUGAUAGGUCAAUCCAUUGAAUUGAAAAUGAAAUUACUAGAAAACUAAUGGUAAACAUGUAAAGUAAGACAACCUAGAAGAACCAAACAAAGUUAACCACAAAUUUGAUUGAUGAAUCAAAAUAAAAACAAUUUCCAAGACCAUCUAAACUAUCCUCAAUGUGCUAAACUACAUUGACUAAUUGAACUUAACCACGUGUACCUAAAUAACCUGAUGCCUGCACCAGUACAGUAACUGUCAUGGAGGUGUUGUCUUGCUGUUUGCUGUGUUUGUCUGCUUCUUCUGCCUUUGUUUCUCCAGCGAUCGACGAUGUCUUCACCUAAACACCUCGCCGAUCGAAAGGGGGAUAUAUGUAGCAGAAAUGAGUCAAAUCAGACAAAUCAAAGAGUCUAUCAGAGCUGUGUGCAUUGAAACAUGAGCUGAAUUCCUCAGGAAGUCAUAAAUCAGUUCUAGUGCCACAGGAACCAAACAAGAUAACCAACCAACCAACUUGUUCACACAACAGCUUUCAACAUUAACACCAAUAGAACAAUUAUUGACAAUUUUAAUUCAAAGAAGAGAUUGUCAAAUUUAUUGUUCGUGAUUGGAAUGCAACGCUGGACAUCACAUGUAAACCCAGGAGAUCAAGUUAAAUACUUGCAUUGACUUCCCCCCCCAGCCAGUGAAACCAGACUGAAAUUCCUAAGGGGGAAGGGCUUUAAACCUUUGUCUUCACAGAAAAGUCCUUUGCCAGAGAAUGGCAAAGAAACCCUUUUUAUACAUUAUAUAUGGACCAGAAUGAACUCAAAAAAGACUUAUGAAUGAAUCAUUCCAUUGCUUAACUCCAUAUUCAUUUAUGUGUAACCCACACAUUUGACUAUCAUGUAUAAUCACUUAUUGUGUAUGUCUUUUGAUAACUAUAGGAUACCUAGUCAUGUCUAGUAUUCAAAUAAUCGCAUUUUCUUGCUUGAUAUUGUCCUGACAAUCAUUUAUUUGUAAAAUAUAUCAUAAUCAUGUUAUAGGAAUCAUGUCCAAAAUUAGACCCUGUGAGGCAAGAACCACAUGCUUGGUAAGAUAAACAAAUGAUUUAUGAUACCCAAGACUCAAGAACAUAUCUGAUUGGUCAAGGCAACAUUUGAGGGGUGGCCAACAGGAAGUUUUAAAUACUUUGGACACGAUGUAAUUUCGCUUUUAGUCAUGCCUUGGUUCUAGUCUGCCUGCUGCUAUUAGCCAUUCUGGCUUUUAGUUCUAGUCUAGCUGCUGCUAUUAGCCAUGUCGGCUUUUAGUUCUAGCAUUGCUCGUGCUAUCAGUCAUGCCUGCUCUUAGCUUUUAGCUUGUAGCUUUGCUACCUAGCUUUAGCUUGUAGCAUCUAGCCAUGCGGUAGUCAUCAUUGUUCUUUGAGCGCGGUUCCAGCGUGCCUGCCUGCUGCUACUAUGAGAAGGAACACAACCUAGUCUCGUCAAACUUUAUUUCUUUUCUUUUCCGUUUGAGAGUUUCGUGUUCUGAGUUAAGUUUUGUAACGUCCAUUCAACUUCAACCAGCGAACACGACUCUGCACUUUCAGCCAACGCCCAACAACCACGGGCUUCCCAAGACGUCACUUCAGAGACUGAACUUCCAGCCAAUCAACGACCUCGGGAUAGCCCUUUCACCGAGGCUCCUUCUUCACAGGAGAUGCAAGUAACUUUACCUCCAGACUGUGACCUUUACUGGUGUAUCUAAUAUAAUUUUAACCUCAUUGAGGAACUCAAUGCGAGCGCUAAUUACGUGAUUGA